AGUGACGAAAAAACAAUACAGGACUCUUUUAUGAUGUUCUGUAAUUGGAAUGAAUUAACUUUAAAUCCUUUAAUGAGGAUCAAGUGGAGGGCAAGUCUGGUGCCAGCAGCCGCGGUAAUUCCAGCUCCACUAGCGUAUAUUAAAGUUGUUGCGGUUAAAACGUUCGAAGUUGAACUUUGUCUCACACUGUGGCGUCCCCCUUACGGGUGUUGGCGGUC
rnacentral:rRNA from 1 species